CGAACGAACGCUGGCGGCAGGCUUAACACAUGCAAGUCGAACGCCCCGCAAGGGGAGUGGCAGACGGGUGAGUAACGCGUGGGAAUCUACCCAGUUCUACGGAACAACUGAGGGAAACUUCAGCUAAUACCGUAUACGCCCUACGGGGGAAAGAUUUAUCGGAAUUGGAUGAGCCCGCGUUGGAUUAGCUAGUUGGUGAGGUAACGGCUCACCAAGGCGACGAUCCAUAGCUGGUCUGAGAGGAUGAUCAGCCACACUGGGACUGAGACACGGCCCAGACUCCUACGGGAGGCAGCAGUGGGGAAUAUUGGACAAUGGGCGCAAGCCUGAUCCAGCCAUGCCGCGUGAGUGAUGAAGGCCUUAGGGUUGUAAAGCUCUUUCAGUGGGGACGAUAAUGACGGUACCCACAGAAGAAGCCCCGGCUAACUUCGUG
rnacentral:rRNA from 1 species